UCUUCUCUCAGCUUUAUAUGCUGAGCAUGAUGCCAUGUGGCCAUCCUUUGGAGUCGGCUGUCCCAGGUGUACCCCCUCCCAACUCUUUGUGCACUCCCAGCCUCCCCACUGCUUGGGUGGUGUGAGAAGCAGAACAGGCCUUGCUGCUGUGUAAGGAAUGCUCAGCAAUGACAAAAAUAUCUUUGCAUUGUCAUCUCUGUUUUCACCACAAAUCCAAAACAUAGCACCCUACUUGCAACUGUGAAUAAAACUAACUCUAUCUUAGCCCAAACCAGCACUCUCAGGAGUACAGAUCAGUUCUGUAUAAAUUCACUUUCAUGUUGGUCAGCUGGCAUUUAGAUGGCAAGCCGGUAUCUGUCAGCAAGGGCAGUUAGGAGCAUGAUGCAAACUCAACAUAGUCUAGCACUAAAGAAGUGGAUGAGAAAAGAGGUUGCUACUUAUUUAUGUGGCUUGAAAGUUUUCAACUUCAAGGCUGGAAUAGAAUCUGAGGGGCUGUUACUCCAAACAGAUGUAGUUGCAUGACUGUUCAGUACAAAAGGGGAAAACCCCAUUGUUGUCUGUGCUUACUUACGGGGAUUUAAGGGUAUGUGCUUGGAUAUCUCCCUGUUGUAGAGGAGGGAGAGGCUGGUGCAUGCCCACCAUGCUGGGAGCUGCCUGAGUAUGCACCCAGACACAGAAGAAGAUUUUGGCUUCUCUAGCCUAAGCAGAACGAAAAGCAGAUUUCCCUCCUCUUCCUGUCUUGUACUACAUGUAGGCUGCUAAGGCUGGGUAGUCUGAUGCAGCAUACCUGAUUAGAACAGCUGAUUUAUUAUAGCAGUGGGGUGCAAGAUGAACAACUUUCUGCACAGUCUAGAAUUGAAUGAGACUGGGAUAAAGGAGGAAAAAUACAAGAUUGUAAUUGCUUAUUUUUCUUCAAGUAAAGUGUUAUUGUUACCAAUGUCAUCAAUUUAGCUGUUGGUCUCCCAACUGUUUUAUAUCAUAGAACAUUGGCUCCCAAGUAAAGGAAGCAAAAAAUCAUUGUACAACAUUUUUAUAAAUGCAUUAAUCAUUCUUAUUCAGCAUCAUAGCAAUUUAAUAAUUCCACGUGCUUGAAAACUGAUGUUUUUAUGGCAACAUACAUUUUUAUAGUGAUAGAAUGUCCAAGUUUUAAAACUGAGCCAUAAUUUCGAUAUUAAAUACAGGCUUUGUGAGCAGUACCGCGAGUUGCCACACGAUGGCAGGAUGAUGACAUGUUAAAGCAAAUAUCCUCAAGCAUGCUGUGGUAGUCAUAGCAACUAGUUUGAAAUGUAGUCUAAAUAUGUUUUGCAGAGAAAAAUAUUUUUCAUUUUGCAUUUGGAGGUGCAAGUGAUGUUGCCUAUUUUUUUUUAUUUUAUUUUUUAGGUAGUCUUAAAAUAAGCUGCAUGGUACAGGUCUGACAUUCUAUUUGAUUGAAAAAAAACAGUUAACAUGGCACAAGGAGUUCUUGUCACAAACCUUUCAAUGGAAAUCACAGAAUAUUAGUUUUCUGUUGACGUGGUUGUUUCUUUUGUUUCUUUGUUUGGGUUUGGGUUGUUGUUUGUUUCUGUUGGUUUUUUUUAGGUGGUGUGGGGUUUGUUUGUUUUUCUGUUUCUGUUAGGGUUUCUCUUUUUGCAGGUCCUUCUUUCCAGGAAGCCUUAUCCUUAUUAUACUGCAGCAGACCUUUGCUUCUUCACACGAAACCAAAGAGCCUGAGUUCCUCAUCAGUGAAGAGGAGCUGCAGAUAGUGAAUUGGUUAUUAUGUCCUUAAAACUGUGGUUGGCAGGAGAAAAUUUGACAACAGGAAUCUAAUGGUCUACCAGAGAUUUGGAAACCAGAGGAUGAUUAUCUGUAACCAGCAGACAGUGAAGCUCCUGCAGAUUGACAGCAAUGCAGUUAAGUGUCAGAAUCUAGUCUGGUUUCUCUGUAUGAGCAAUGUUGCUUAAAAAAAUGUAACACAGGGAUGGUUUUUAAGGAAGGAAAUGGUUUGUUUUUUUCCCCUUUAUGCUUGAAACAGAAAAAAGAAUGAUGGGUUGAAAGACAAAAGCAAAAUGAGUAAAGUAAAACCACCAGUAUAACUACAUUUAAGAAUACGUAUUAUGUUCUUACAUCUCCAUGAGAAACCAGAAAUAAUUAAUUCAAGUGAAGUGUGGGAGUAUCAUGAAUUAUCCAACAUUUCACAACAGUAACUUUUGCUUUCCAUUAAUGACAGCUAACGUAGUUCUUGUCCGCGAGGCUUUUCUUGUGGAAUCAGGGUUGAGAGUAUCAUAUAAAAGGUUGAAGAAUGUGUUUUAAGAGAAUAGGUUUCAGUUAACUAAUGUGAUGCUAAAUAUUUUACAUUACAGAUUAUGUGGAAUGAGUCCCAAGUCAGUGGGAUUUCACAUGCCAAAGAGAUCCACAAACAAAAAUAUUAGAUUAGAUAAGUCAAAAUAACAGAAACCAGGAAUAUGCUAAAUGUAUUUUUGUGUUUUCUGAGCUUUCUUUAGCAUAUCAGAUGUGCUGGCUGACCUUGCUUUGCACAAGUGGCCUUUGAACAAAGAGUUGGAUUACAGAUCUACUGGAAUCUUUUCCAGCUUGAAGGAUCUACGAACUGAUAAAUUAGAAAUGUUCAAGAACUUUUUAUAUGUGCGACUUUACAUCAGACAGAAAUGUUGUCUUACGUUAUUUUGAAAUGUCAUUUUUUAAUAAGAUUCACAAUGACAAUUAUGAACUCAUACCCACUAUUUAGUUUUUAACUGCAGAUUUAUGUAAUCAUGUACAAAAUAUGGAUUAUGAUCAAGACCAGCUGGAUCAUGUGUUGCUUCCAUAUUCAACUAAUAUGCUUAGUAUACAAUCUACUUAUGUCAUUACAUCUUUUAAUUAAUAUUUCUAUUUAUAGGGGGAUCACAAAUAAUGUUUAAAUGUUUCAUUAUCCAUCAAUGGCUUUAUGGGAUGAUGUAACCCAGUGAAAAAUGAAAAUAUAGGCAGAUACUGUGAUGGCUUUUAUUCAGCUUUACUUGCAUUCUGGCUGUUUCUGUAAAAUUUCUGUUGAAUAAUGCUUCUGUCAGAUACUACUUCUAUGAAAGAACUUGGCAAGUACUACUCACCGCUCAAACACAGCACCUUGGAGAGUAUUCUGAAUAAUUUGUUGUAGUACAUUUUAAACUCAAAAUCCACAACAAUUGUCAGGAAAGUUGAUUUCUGCUUCUUUGUGUCUUAAAAUCCCAUAACUCUAAAAAUUCUAGAAGAGCUCUGAUAUCUGAAACCUACAAAUAUAAUUUCACCUUUUCUGCAUUAUCUUACCUUAUUCUUCUGUUAUGCCCAAAAGAAUGCUAGUUCUGACUUCCAUACUCACUGGGUAUCUUAAAAGUAUAGCUAAUUUUGCCUUUGUGAUGUCUGUAUCUGCUCUCAUUGACCCUAACUGGAGUUGCAACUUGUUUCUCAUAGCAAAGAUUUUAGCUUUUAUGUUCCAUGUCUUACUUCAAGUCUUUACAGUGACACAUGUAUAUAAGCACAGCACCAUUUUUUGCCUCUUGGGAACUACCCUAAUUGAUGCUAACCGAAAUUUUAACCCUUCUAAAGCUAAGUGAGUUCAGAAUUAUUUUAUUACAGUUCUGUUAGAGAGUAAGCAACUGCUAAAAGAAUUGUUGAGAAAUUAAAGCAACCACAUUAAUAGAUAAUUUUAGUUUCUUAAUUACAUAAAUUACUUCUUGCCCCAUUAUUUUCAACACUACCUGUCUUUAGAACUUCCCUUUUUAUAAUAACAUCUAAAAAAAAUAAAUCCAAAAUUAAGAAAUAAGAAAUUUAUUAAAAUUCUUAAAAUGCUGUGGUUCAUCCCUGUGGCAGCUCCUUUUUUGUGAGGAAUCCUUACGGAAUUAAAUGAUUUUUCUGUGAAAGAUGUUCCAGCCUCAUAUUCACUAAAAGGUUCUUUUGAUAAUUUAAUUUCUUUUUAUGCAGUGCAGAAAAAAUGAAGAAGUAGAUAUGUUUUCUUACUUGACUUUCUCUUCACAGCAGCUACUACUGCAACAGAGCUACUCCACUGGACAUAAUUGGGAGGGGGGAAAUACGUCUCCACAGAGGGACUGCAAAGGAACCUGAAAAGCUUUUGUGAUUCAUCCUAUUGCCACUCUGAGGGGUGAGACUGGGAGUCCCAAAAGUUUCCAGUCCUUCUCAGCUCCAGUAAGUCAACUUCUGGGAGCACAGAAAGUCCUCAGAUUUACUCUAGUGAUUCUUGCGUGUGGGUAGAAGUCAGCUUUGAAGGAAAACACAAAUAAUAAUUUGGGCUAAGGGUAAAGCAGAAAAAAAUCUUUAUCAAGGUGUUUGUUUCAUUGCUUUUCAGUAGCUUUAAUUCUGUUUUUUUCAGUAUUCUAUAACAAGCAUUUGGCUCUAUAGGCAUUUUCUAAUAUAUGAUAACUGGCACUGGUAAGACACGUUAAUGAGUACAAUGAGUCAGACAGUUUCUACUAUUCUCUGUGCAAGUGACACCUACUGUUUUAGCAAUAUCUAUCUAACUACAUUUUUAUAGUGGUUUCAGUGCUUGAGGGGAAAAAUUCUUGGAAGCAAGAGUUGCCUUUUAUAGGCUUUAAAAAAACCCCCAACAAACCACUAAGAUUCCAACACACACACAGAGAAAGAGAGAGAGAGAAAGCAAAGAGAGAAAGAGGAAAAUUUGACAGGAAGAAAAGCCUGACGCAGAGGGUCAUAUGAAGAAAUAAGAGACCAUUGGAUAACUCUUUCCUGGAGAGUGCCCAAGCCCCAAAAGCACCAAUAAAUCCUGAAUUCUGUUCUACACAUUUUGGCACAGCUUUCUGUGAAAGCUGGUGACUCUGCUUUAUUCCUACUGCAGAAUACUUCUUGUUGGGUGCUAAAGGUACUUAACAGAAUGGUGAAACUGCAUCUUGAAAUUCCCUCGAGGAGAGGAAAGAAAUGAGUCAGCCUUACACUUUUCUGAGAAGUUUGCUGCAACCAGCAGACUAUUAUGUAAAAGAAAACCACAGAUAGUUCACUGUUUUUAAAAAAAUAUGGUAUUUAACUUACACCUAUAUAUUAAUAAUAUAUAGGUAUAUAUUUUAAUAUAUUCAAAAUAAAAAUACUUAAGUUUGGCUCUUUAAAGUAAUGGUCAAACUCCUUCUUGAAGGGAUUCACAGCUAUGACUAUUAAAUGGACAAAAAUACUUCUUCCUUGAACUGCAGGACUUGUCUGUAGCAACAUCAUCCCUAACAUCAUCCUGGAUUUACACACACAUUUUGAAUUAGAGUCCUUCUGGCUCAGGGUGCUUGGUCUUUGGGCUCUUAUUCUGAUCUAACUUUCUCCUGAUAUAUCAUGUUCUGUGGGAAAAUCUCUAAGGCAAGCUUCCAUCUUUGUACAUUUUCCACACAUUAGAUACUGCAGCACCUGACCUAGAAAUCUUUUUGUUCUUUAGUGGACCUAAGGGAACUUGGAAGAUUAUCCACAGGGAUGUGGAACAGGAGGGGAAUGGAACAAAAUGAAUUAUAACUGUGCCCAUUUCCUGUAUAGCAUUACAAUAAGUGGAGUGUUGAGCUGGAAUAUACAGGACAGCCUCAUCUGUCUCUAUAACUGAUAUCUAUUGAAUUGUUUGAGACUGAACUUAUAUAGAAUGAAACCCUGUGAUCUUCUCCUAUUUUGUAUGCACCUUUAUGAAUGUUCAGAGACUGAAGCAACCAGGAGGCUGCCCUGGACUGAGAACCAAUCAGCAUCUGCAAUAAUCUUGCAGAGAAAGGAAAUAGUUCUGUAGCUAUGACUCUAAUUUUAUCACAUAUCCAGCUGAAAAAGGGUGAGGGACUAACCUGAAUCCUCCUCAAAGAGCAGUUUCUUUAUGGAAAGAGUGACAAUAGAAUGCAAGAAGAGAAAACAAAGAGUUAUGUAUGUGCAAGGUUAGAAACUUAACUUUUGAUUUUCAGUACCAUUUCAGAACUGAGACUCUUUUGCCUCAUCUGAUGUCCCUCUGGAAGGAACUCUGCAUAGUCAGAGACACCAUUUUUCAGAUGCUGUGGAAUUCUUAUAUUUGCUGAGGCAUCAUUUCUUUUUUGCCUGGGACAGCUUUGCUUGCUGACCAAAGGGAUACUAUGGUGAAGUGGACGUGUGGCUUUAUUCGCCUGAUUCUCAGGGAGCCCUAAAGCAAAGCAGAGCUCUUCAGCAAACUGCCAUUUAUUAUUUUGCUUCACUGUGAGAAGACAGCUAUUGCUGAACAAAAAACUUCUGGCUGCCUGCCUGCCUGACUGAUUUGCAGCCUGUUGUUACUCACGGGGUAAUAGACUUUGGGAUAGGGUAAUGGGGCUGCUGUUCUCCUUGGCAAGACAAAUGACUUUGAAGGACAAGCUGAUAUCUGUGCUGCAAUAUUGAUUUUUUUUUCUGGUAUUCCAUAACUGUGUCCAAAAGUAUGCGCCAUCCCAUUACUGGGAAGGCUUCUAGCCCCAUCUAUUGUCAGCCUUGCUGGAUACGCUUUGCAAGAUUGCCAUCAAACACAAAUAAUUUAGCCAAACUUCCCCCGGGUUGAAGUUUACUAUUGUGUCACUGCUCAGGUUGAUCAUAUUUUCUUUUAAAUUUCAGACAAAAUAUUUAAUAUAUUUUAGUGAUUUAGAAUUUUUUUUAAAAAAAUCAGAUUUAUCACAAGUGAAAAAAAAAGGACUUCUAUCUUCUUUCUGCCUCAGAACCAGGACACAAGAUUUGGGAAAGCAGUAGCUGCUUUGGAGAUCUCUCAUCCAGAACUAUGCUUGAGCUGAAGCUACAAAUAGAAGCACAAGGAUCUAUGCUGUACAAAACCAUUAUUUUUCUUACUUGCUGUAACAGCAGCUUGGAGAUGUAUUAAACUGGGUGUCCUGGGACAAUUGACAAAUUUCUAUUUGAUCUCUGUGCCUGUAUUGAGUCUGGCUGAGAUGGAGUUCAUUUUCCCACAGCAGCCCUCACAGUACUGUGCUUCACAUUGGUAGCUAGAGAGGUAUUGAUAGCACACCAGUGUUUUGACCACUGCUGAGCAGUGCUGGCACACCAUCAGUGCUGUCUCCCUAACAUUCCACCCCACAUCAGUAGGCUGGCAAUGGGCAACACCUUGGGAGGGGCACACAGCUAGAACAGCUGACCCAAACUAACCAAAGAGAUAUUCCAUACCAGAUGAUAUUGGCUCAGAUAUAAAACCCAAGAAAAGGAGGAGGAAGGGGGAGGCAUUUGUUAUUUACAAAGUUUGCCUUCUGGAGCAACCACUACUCAAGCUGAAGCCCAGCUUCCUGGGAAGUGGCUGGACUUCUCUUGCUGAUGGGAAACAGAGAAUAAAAUCUUUGUGUUUUUCCUUUGCUUGUGCAUGCAUAACCUUUGGGUUUUGCUCAACAUACAUGUUGUUUACCAUCUCAUUUUCUCUCCCCAUCCAGCUGAGAAGAGGGAGUGAUAGAGUGGCUUGGUGGGACCUGCUGUCCAGCCAAGAUCAACCCACCACAGCACCACAGAUUCAUUGAAAGGAAAAUGGACAACCCUCCAAACUGAGGUCAAAUCAUGGUCAAAGGUCUGCAGAGGACCUUCUGGUAGAUUUGGAAGCUUGUUGCUGUGAUACCUGACUGCCUGCCUACCUACCCAUCACCUGCUGUACAAGAGGUGUUGGUAGUCCUGGUAGAAGUUUGGCAGCCUGUCAGAGACACCUGCACCCACGUGGAAGAAUGGGUACAUUCAACAGCUGGAAGAGCCACUGUGGAUUCAUACAGCAAUUUUCACAGCAGGAAAACAACAGCAAAAUAACGUGAACUAAUGAGAGAAAAUACAAGCAGUCAGCACUGCCAGGUAAAACCUACUGCUUGUGUUUGAUUGACUGGGAACCGUUCACUGACAUAGCUAUUUUUUGACAGUGUAUUUUCCUUCUAUGCCAUUUGGGUCUGAGGCAAGUAAUUUACCAGGGACGGGCUUUUUUCACUGAAAAGCAUCUUUGCAAACACUGAAAGAAACAGGAUGCUACAGAUUGUAAAAAAAUGAUUUUACAAGGGAGAGCAUCUGCAAGCAGCAAUUUCCCCACUAAGGUAUUUAAUGAAGAAAGGAACAGGUGAAGUGAGUCCUUGCAAACUGAAGCUAAUGUUUUUGUGCUUGCAGUUCUGGCAUUUCCUUUGCCCCACUGGAGCUUAGAGACAAAGUCUGACUAGGCAUGGCUCAGAUAAAUCUGCUCUCAGGUAGCUCAUGCUGCCACUGUUAGCGGCAGAAAGUAAUUAAAGUAAUUUGCUUACAAGGGGAUGAAGCUCUCUGUAUCAUCGACUGAGUCAGAGGAGGUAACUUUUAGUGGAGGAAAUGGCUCAUCUGAGGGGUCCUGUGAGAUGUGCAUUGAAUAUAGGUCACAGUAGGUUACUUUGAGAGAGGAAAAAACAAGCUUUUACUGCCAUCCUGCAAGAACUGCCCUGAAGAACCAUCAGCCUUCAGGAGGUUUCAUUUCACUCUCUACAGGAUCAGGGUUUCACUCUCCAGAGAAAAGUUAGUGCUUUCAGGAAAGAGCCUUAGCAAGUGCCAGGAUCUCCUUUAAUGUUACACAAUACUUUUUUUUCCAAGGGAAAAAAAGUUAACUUUUGUUGUACAUGCAGCUCAGUUACUAGGAGUAGUUAUCUUGUAAAAUGCUCCAUGGACAGUGCAGUUGGUAAUUAAAGGGAUUAGUGCCUUUACUGACAAACUCGAAAUGGAGAUGCAGAAUCAACUGACAUUUGGCCAUGCACAAUUGGCAUUUCCUUUUCUAAACUCAGUCGUUCUGCAACCUGUGCUCCUGAUCCCUGGUCAUGUGCCUUGCAAUUAUCUGAAUUCACUGAUAUUGACAUUUGGGUACCUUCAGGGAUGUCAAACAAAUACUUGUCUGACAAGCUGAAGGCCUGCCUCAUUGCUUGAGGAGGAGGGACACAAGUUAUAUGGGCACAUCCUUGGAAGCAGACUGCAAAAGAACAACUUUCUCCAUCUGUCUUCCUUUGAUUGAUACUAUCACACUAAAUGUUUUCUUGUCACUUGAAAUCAAUGGGAAGAACCCCAGACCACUUUUCUUCCUGCUCUCUAUUUAUGUCUAGCAUUUUCUGGGAAAGAACUUUAGUUUCUGUGGUUAUUAUCAUCUGGAUGGCUCAACUGGAUGACAUGUGAAAAUGAUUUGCUCAGAAGGAAAUAGAUAUGUGUCCAGCCAUACUAUCUUCCACAGUAGAUUCAAGUAGAGAAGGAAGGCCAUUGCUAACUCAAGCACUGACCUCCACUUCCUAAAGCUAUGUGAGGUAUCCUUAUGCAAGCUGUAAAAUUAGCAGCUUCCAGUAUUUCUAGUAUUUCCAUUUUAAGAAUUUGCUUUACCCAGCUAUUAGUCUGGAACCCCCUCCCCCCCCGGUGAGUAUUGGAAGGGAGCAUUUAUUAUUCCCGUCCUUUGUGGUGGUACCUACACAGCAGCAGAGCCAGUGCUCUUGGCUCUCAGGGUGCUGGCAGUGGGGAAGGUGCUGGUUCCCAUGGAGACUGUCUGCAUCUCGGCGCAAGAUGAGGGGAAGCCAGGAGAGAUGGAGACAGAGGCACUGUGAAGAGCCAGAGCAUCCUGCACACUUAGUCACCCUGCUGCUGGGUCAUCAUGUCCUCUUUGUGGACUCUCUCAGUCUUUUGUCUUUGUCUUUGCCUUUGAGACUCUUUGUCAUGUCUCAGGCAAAGCAAAGCAGGGUGUUAGUCUGUUGCUCCCCACACCUGUGCUGGGCUUACCUGAGUGCAUGUUCUCUGAAGCUGUGGUCUCUUGGAGUCAUUUAUGCUCAGUCUUGCUUUUCAUACUUAGUAUGAGCCCCAUCAAAAAUACUUAUAUUUACAUACUAAAUCUGGAGAUAAUUUUCACAGUUCCAGACCCUGAGAUUAGUUCAGUUUGCUAGAGUACAGUGCUAAUAACAUCAAGGUUGUGGGUUUGAUCCCCAUACGGGCCAUUCACUUAUGAGUUGGACUCACUGAUCCUUGUCAGUCCCUUUCAACUCAGACUGUUCUGUUAUUCUAGAUGUUAGUUCCAGAUGUCAUCACAAGAUUUCAGUGAGGGCAUCACUUGAACAAAAAUGAAGGAUUAAGAUUCUCCCUUUUCUUUGUUUUAAUUAUCCAGGAUAUAAAAUUGUAGCAUUUGAAACAAUAUUUACAAUAAGGAUUUUGAAAGUAACUUUUCCAUGUUGCAAAUGUGGCAGUUGAAAUUUCUACUACAAAGAGUGUUUUUUUUAAAUGUUGUUAUUGAUGAUUAGUCAAUUGAUUCACUGUGGCCUGAGGACUUUAUUUUACAGUAGAGGAAAUCUAAACAUUGUCAGCAUCAGGCUGCAUUAGUGACACACAGAAGAGUUGCCUGGACUAUGCAAGAUUGAAACCUAGUUAGGAAGCUUAACUAAGUCAAGUUUAGUUAGGAAAGUAAAGCUGGAAGAGGUGAUGUGGUUUGGGUUGACUCGGGCAGAACCAGAUUCUUUGUGCAAGGUAUUAUCUGUCUGAAAGACCUUCAGUGGAUGACAUUCUGCACCCUCAGUAGGUAGUGUCUGCUAGAUUUCAAUGCACUUAUAGAAUCAUAAAAUGUCUUGGGUUGGAAGGCACCUUUAAGAUCAUCUUGUUCCAACCCCCUUGUCCUGGGCAGGGAACCUUCCUGUACACCAGGUAGCUCAGAGACUCAUUCAGCCUGAUCUUAAACACCUCCAGGGAUGGGGAGUCCACAUCAUCUCUGGGCAACCUGUUCCGGUGUCUCACCAUCUUCACAGUAAAGAAUUUCUUCCUAAUUUUAUUCUAAACCUGCUCUCCUUCAGCUUAAGACCAUUCCUCCUUGUCAUGUCUCUCUACCUGACCACGUGAAAUGUCCCUCUCCAGCAUUCUUGUAAGACCCUUAUCAUUAGGAGUUAUCUAUAUGCUGUCAAACUUCUAGGCAGGAAACCUGAUUGUAAUUAAAUUCUACUUUAAUAGCACCAGCAGAUUUUUUAUUUGUCACUGAAGAGAGCUCACGAGAAGAAAUUUGACUUACACCCAUUAAAAUGUCUGUUGUUUUCCCACUGUGUGCUGUUUUGUUUUUUGCUCUUAAAAAAAAACUUCACAAAUAUUGUUUCAAAGAAUGAAUUGCAGUGGAAUAUUUGGCUUUAAACAAUGGUAUUACUAGAACAGGCACCUCAAAAGCUUGUUGGAGAGAAGAUAAUUGAGGGAAUACUUAGCAGUAUCAUUCUGUGAUGCAAACUAUAUAAGGUUGCCGAGGCAGACUGUACUAAGGAAAAAACAUUCAAGUGAAGUAAGAAGAAUUUGGUGGAAAUCUGAAUAUUUGCUCAAAAGUAUUUUGCCUAAGUAGGAAAAGUAUGAUAUCUAUACUACUGAUGACACAACCAAAAUGGGGACAAUGAGCAUGGUACAGAAUAGUAAGGGAAAUAAGACAUAUUCUGGAAGCAGAAGACAAAUAUUAAGAUGAGCCAGGGAAAAACAAACAAACAAAACUCAAGACAAAACAAAAAACAAAACCAAAACCCAAAACUAACCAACCAAUCAGACAAAAAAUCCCACACAAACUUAAAACAACAAAGCAAAAACAACUCACACAAUUUUUUUGGAUACCAUCAAUGAAGGAGCCAUAAAGAAGAUAAUCGGAAAGUCUACAAGAGGAGAAGCCCUUGCCUGGUAUACUUUCAAGCAUUGUACAGGGUCUGGUUCAUGAUGCAUAACUGAAGGUUGGACCCACUUUAUCAUAGCAACCAUCUCUGUAGGAAAGACAGAAAGAAAACAGUCUGACAUGGGCAUAUUUUUUAAAAAAACAGGAUCUGAAUAAAAAAAAGAGGACAUCUUGAAAGAUUACCAAUAACAGUGAAGGGAAGAAAAACAGUGGAAGGAACCAUUAAGAAUGUUUAAUGAGACCCAAAUGGUGACUCAGAACCUAUAUAUACUCUUAUAAUUAGGAUUUCAUAAAGACCAAACACAUGCAGAAAAACAACUCAGAUGACAAAAUAAAGAUACUGGAUGUCAAAAAGCAACCUUCAAAAAACACAAGUAAUUAUAAAAGGCAAUGAAUUCUGUAUGCAAUUUAUGUAUAUAAACACAAUGUUACAAAACAGAAAAGACUUCCAGAAACAAUUUGCUAAAUCCUAUAAAAAGUAACAAAUUUUUUAAAACAUCUAAAGAAGAAUGUUUCCCAGAGUCAGUGAGACCAGUAGAAGAUUUGGAGAGCGUAGUGGAGCUCAAAAAUUUUGCACAGAAAAUAGCCAUUGUAAUUUGAGGCAAAUUUCCUAACUAAGCUAGUGGAAAUGGGACUUGUAAUUUUCCAGGAGUUCAGCUUCCUUAACAUAGCAUCAACUUAAAUAAAUACAAUUGCUGCUUUGGAAAUUCAGAAUCUCUGCCCUUACAGAUUAUAGUUACCUAAUCUUUUUACAAAUAGCCAUUACCUUUCAAGGUGAUAAUUUCAAAAUGCAACGUUACAAGAAGAUAUAAGAGUGUUGGAGAUACUAAAGGUCUAUGAUUUCUCAGAAUCUUGACAGAAUUAAUGCAGUGGGAAUGAUAGGACUGAAUUUAAAUUUGUUUUCACCAUUUUCAACCAUUUAAAUGUAAACAAGAAUGUACAUGUGUGCACAUAGACCCACACAUUUCUCCUUAUAGUUCCUUCUACUUCAUUUCCAAGAAGACUUAAUGUAAACCUCAGCUGGAUAAAACUCAUCAAAGUAUCUGUUUCCUCAAAACUUUAUUUGCACAUGCUACUUCUAAUUUUUCUUUUUCUAAGCAUCCAGUAAGUAAUACCAGAAGUCUAAAAAAAUAUUCUAUCUGUUGUAAUAGGAUUCAAGGGUCAAUAAAAAUAAAAACAGUAAUAGCACUCCUUGAAAAAGACAGCUAAUUACAGUUCUGUGAAGAAGAACAAGACUGUAAAAUAAGUACCUGCUUCAUUAGCACUCUCAUUUCACAUCUAUCAUGCAGAGUCCUUAUACAGCUAAGCAAGAGUCCUUUAACCUAAAUUGGUUGACAUUUAUUGGCAAAGACCCUGCUUUAAUGCCAGCUCCCUCCCCAGAGCUAUUUCUAACCCUUGCUUAUAUGUUUUCUCUGCCUUCAUUCUAUUUCCUUGUACAGGUUUACAAUGUGGGAUAAAAGCUCUUUAGUCUGGUAUUGUUUAGCAUUGUAAUCUGACCUUAACUUUGAUGAGUUAGAACAAACAGACAUAAUCCUCAGAAUACAGGCAGGAGGCAGAAAUCUAUUUUAAAAAUCAUCAGGACUAGGUUUUUGCUCUCAGGAAGGACUCUGGCUGCUCACAUGUCACUAUCAAAAGUAAAAUGAGACACAUGGAGAGAUUAUCAUCCCUGCUCUUUUUUCCAAAUGCUACUGUGACACCAAAACCUAAAGACUGCAGGCCCUAGAACCUGUGUGAGCCAUCCCAGAUCAACCAUUCCUCUCCCAGAUUGUUUCUGCAGGUUGGGAGCUCAUGUGUAAGAACAUCUCUUAACAGUAGGUCGGUUGGGCUCGGAGAUGGACUGUGCGGAGAAUGCAGAGGUCAAAAUGUAAGGACAUGCCAAGUAUGGAGCUAGGGUGAGGAGAUUCAUAGUUCAUCCAAUCUGUAUGCCAAGUGGCACAAAAAUUUGCAAUACUAAUGCACACAAAUAUUACAUAUAUGCUCAAAUUAGGAAAUCAUGUUUAAAGAUAACCCUCCCUCCUCCAAUAAUCCGCUUUUGUUUUUCAUUUAGUUUCCAAUUUCAAAGUUAUAGGUUUUACAUCCUGCAGAAUUUUUCUGUAGUCACAGAAGAUAGAAACUUGUUUAUGCAACUCAUAAAUGCAAGCUGAGACUCUUACAUAAUUACAGGUCUCCAAACAAUAUGCAUACAGGAGCUGCCAAGUCCACGCUGGUUAAUCAGUUUUAAGAUGGAGCAGCCUUUGAAACAAGCAGAGAAUCUCAUUACCCAGCUGCAUAAAUCCAUGGUUCAGUCACAUCUUGAACUGUUGUGUGCAGUUUUCAUCCUGUGAUCUCAGAAAAAGAGGGUAUAACUGGGAAAGAUUGAGAGUAGUGUGACAGACAUACUCAAAAAUAUACUAUUCAAAAUAGUAUAUUCAAAAUAUUAAAAAAUUGGAACUAUUCUUGAAAAUAUAGGACAGUUACUGAGUAAACAUUAGCUUAGCAAAGAGACAAGUUGGACUGAGAAGUAGGGAGAAGUAUCACAUUAAAAGAAAUGCACAGAGUUACAUUGGGAAUGACUGCUCACAGUCUCUGCCAAAGUAGAACUACAGGAUAUCAGAAGUGAGCAGAUGGCAGACUCAGAGCAAAUGAAAGAAAUUGAUUUUUCACAUUGUGCAGGUAAACUACAGGUUUUUUCAGAUGCAAAACAUCUAUGUGAGUUCAAAAGAUGCAUGAAAAAAAAUCAAAAGGAAAAAAAAAACCUCAGGGCCAUUAAUUACAAAGACACCAUCUCAGAUUCAAGGAGCCCUUGGAGCUGGAAAAAUAUUCUAAGGAAACAUCAUUAUGUUUUUGACCUUUUCUUUUUCUCUUCUCUAAGCAUCUGCUUUCGUAUGCGUAGUGACAGGAUACUAGGGAAAAUGGAUACAUCCAUCCCAUGCUCUGAAUCCAGAAUCUUUAGUUUGUGUUUCAGAACCACCAAGAAUCAUGAAAAUUAGAAGUAAUCAAAUGCCCCUCAAGAUUUUUUCCCCUGCAGGAACAGAGGAAACAACUGCAGAAGUGGCAGCUCUAUAAGCAAAUAAACACUCCAGAGAGUUGCUCAUGGUGGAAGCUGGACUUCAAAUAUACAAAUUGAAGCCUUCAGAGCCAGUUUAACAUGCAUAAUGUGGUCUGAUGAAAAAUAGUAUAGCUAUGCUCUGGUGACCAGCACUGCUUAGCAUUCGUUUGGAUUUCAAGCUGCAAUGGAGGAAUGGUGCAAAAUUUGGAUACACAACAUUCACCAACAAAAUGAAUGAAAUAAUGAACACAUCUGUCAAGGCACCAUGAAGGAAGAGACACGCUUUUCUGGGCUGGAUGAUCAUCAAUAUCUCCAGCUUUCUGGAUAUCAACAGGAACCCAGGCAUUUUGGUUAUUAUGAAAAGUGUGCGUGUAUUUGUUUCAGGACUGUAGUGCCAACAUCCAUCAAACAAUUACUUGAUUUUCAGGUGGAACUUUUUAGAGCUCUUCAUCAAGAAUAUGAUGUGGGGUGUGGAUGCCCACCAAGACUUCCUUAUCCUUGACAAUACUCAAAACAUCUGUGCAGGUCUGUUUGUUGGAUAAAAAAAAUUUCAUCCUUGGAAAUGUCCUUUGUGGAACUGUUCUUCCAGCAUUUGUCAGAAUAAGAGGGAUUGCAGAAAAACCCUGCAGAAAUUGUUUAGCCUCAGACACUUGCAAAAAUAACAAUGCAGAUCAAUAAACUUCAUAUCCUUUCCAAUUAUAAAUUAUUCUCAGAAACUACUGAUAAAUGUUUAUGGUGUUUUUCCUUAUUUAAUAGAUUCUCUGGAUUUGUGGUCAUAACAUAUUAAAAUGUAUUCUUUGUCAUUAGAAUAGUUUAAAUGAAAGCAAAGUUAGUUCCUGUAAGUUUUGUUCUAGAGACUGAGUGUUCCUUGCUCUGAUGCACUGCUUAGUCAAACUUGCAUGAAAAGCUUAGCUAGCAAUUAAAGAAUGCAAGCGCUUUCUGAGUGAGGUGUUGACUAACAACGCAAGAAUCUCAACCUUAUCAGGUCAUCAGCAUCCUCAGUUUAAGGGACUGUCACUAUAAAUUCCUUAAUUGUGUCAGGUCCACAGAAUGAGUCAGGAGAUAAGAGUUUGCUAUAUUAACUCCUUGGACAAGGACCUACACUACGCCUACACCUACACUUUGCCUAAAUUUGGCAGAUUUUAAACAACCCUGCAAGGCUAGAGAACAAGAAGUAUUUCUCUUUCACAGCAGAACCUGACUUACGAGAGUCCUGAAAGUUUCUAGGCACCUCUAAAGUCAUCCCAGACUCAUCUUUGUUCAUGGUACCUAAAGUACUUCCCACAUGUUUUAGAAGCUUCUUGGUCUGGAGAUCUAUAAGAUUUUCUUCUUCCUAAGCACCAGUGAAAGUCAAAGGUUAUUCAGAGAGAUGAUUACAUUUAAUUCAGUAAAAAUUAUGUGAGCAUGCCUAAAAUGUUCUGAUAUGUUUAUUUAAAAAUUUACUGGAGCAGGCUUGAUGUAUCUUUUUCCAGCAUCCAAAUGGCUAGAGCACUUGUCUCAGUCAGAAGAAACCCAGCUUGUAUUUUCCCUGUUUGAGGCAUUUGAAUCCAAAGCAUAUACACUGAUCACAGUUACUGCAAGAAAAGGCACUUUCUGCAAUAUCCCUUGAAGCUGAGCCACUGCACAGCUAGUAAAGCUGGACAAACAGAGUGCAGUAUUAUCUAGUGGUGAAGUACUCAGCCAAGAUAAAGUCCAAAGUUCUCCUCCUCCUGGAUUUUUC